CGUUGACAAAUUUGUAACUAGUUUAGGUAACAUAUUGUGUAGUUUUAUGUGAACCAUUCAACAAAUAUAAAGGGAAAUUGCAUUGCUAGCUAGUCCAGCCAUCAACUAAGCAUCAAAAUGAAUGUCAUGUCAUAUUUGGUAGCGUUCUUCUUGAUUCUUGGGUUGCUCUUACAAUCUCACGCUAGUUUCACAGGCAAGGUCUCCGCGUGGGAAGCCCCUUCCAAUGAGUUUUCUUCUUAUAAGUUGAAUGUGGUGACAAGAAAGGUUAGAAGAUCCCCGCCUCCAUCUCCCAGGCUUAAUCCUCCUAUUCACUUCAAAAGUCCUCCUCCUCCUCGGCCACCACCACCGCCAGUGUCACCGCCACCACCGCCAGUGUCCCUGCCACCGCCGCCACCACCCCCAUGCAACUGAUGCUGCAGAUGUAACGGUUCAAAAGCUUCUUCAGGAUAGUUUUUGACUGCAAGUUCUUUUGCUUUCUUUUUUGUAAGGAUAUUUGCAAUAGCAAUGGUACAAAAUCGAUCUGAGUUGGAUUUUCGGAUUAAUUGGAUCAAAGCUUGAACCCUAUGUACUUUGAAAUUCAUAUUUUAAGCAGAAAAUGAUUUGAAAUUUCUAACAGUCAACAUUUAACACUUCAAUCUUUUCAUUGAUUUCUAACAUUCCUUACUAGUUAUGUAGCGAAGGCCCUUGAAUGGAAAGCCCCUUCUCCUGAAUUUUCACAUCAUUACAAGCUGAAAGGUGAUGACCAGAACGCUGGAUCAUAGAAUAUCACCACCACCUCCUAGGCUUAAGUCUCUUUCUCAUCAGAAGCUGCCUCGGCUUCCACCACCACCGCCACCUUCUCCAAUAUAAUCACCACCGUGUAGACGCUAGAUUUCAUGGUUCAAAAGCUUGUUUGACAAUAGAUUUUCUUUUCCAGGUUUUGAUUUACUUCCUUGCGUGAUCUUGGUAUGGUUCUGUAAAUUUGCAAAUUAAUAGUAUAAAAAAGAAAGGCUCAAUGUAAUAGCACACGAUCCCUCUCCCUCUAAUGGUG
rnacentral:misc_RNA from 1 species